rnacentral:rRNA from 1 species
UACGUAGGGUGCAAGCGUUGUCCGGAAUUAUUGGGCGUAAAGAGCUCGUAGGCGGUUCGUCGCGUCGGCUGUGAAAUCCCGAGGCUCAACCUCGGGUCUGCAGUCGAUACGGGCGGACUGGAGUUCGGCAGGGGAGACUGGAAUUCCUGGUGUAGCGGUGAAAUGCGCAGAUAUCAGGAGGAACACCGGUGGCGAAGGCGGGGUCUCUGGGCCGAUACUGACGCUGAGGAGCGAAAGCGUGGGGGAGCGAACAGG